AUGCUUGCUUCAGCAGCGCAUAUACUAAAAUUGGGAUGAUACAGAGAAGCUUAGCAUGGCUCCUAUGCAAGGAUGACAGGGAAAUUCAUGAAGUGUUCCAUUUUUUU
ensembl:snRNA U6 U6 spliceosomal RNA